rnacentral:rRNA from 1 species
AGAACGAACGCUGGCGGCAUGCCUAACACAUGCAAGUCGAACGCUUUUGGGGCUUCGGUCCCAAAGGAGUGGCGCACGGGUGAGUAGCGCGUGGGAACCUGCCCUGUUGUGGGGGAUAACCGAGGGAAACUUCGGCUAAUACCGCAUACGCCCGGGGGAAACUCCGGGGAAAGAUUUAUCGCAGCAGGAGGGGCCCGCGUCGGAUUAGGUAGUUGGUGGGGUAACGGCCCACCAAGCCUGUGAUCCGUAGCUGGUCUGAGAGGAUGAUCAGCCACACUGGGACUGAGACACGGCCCAGACUCCUACGGGAGGCAGCAGUGGGAAUAUUGGACAAUGGGCGCAAGCCUGAUCCAGCAAUGCCGCGUGAGUGAUGAAGGCCUUCGGGUUGUAAAGGCUCUUUCGCACGCGACGAUGAUGACGGUAGCGUGAGAAGAAGCCCGGCUAACUUCGUGCCAGCAGCCGC